rnacentral:lncRNA from 1 species
AAAAAAUGGGUGGGCUAUAGCCUUGGUGGGGGGGGUGGGCGAAGUUCGUCCGCCGGAGUCGGAAUGGCCCCAGACUUUGCGGGCGGCCUCCGUGUGCCAAAAAUAGGCCACGGGCACAGCCGCGCCCACAAAUCAGCCCCCGAAGGUCGGGGUGCCAACACCCCCCAGCGGAAAAAUGGCCAAAAAAUGGGUGGGCUAUAGCCUUGGUGGGGGGCGCGGGCGAAGUUCGUCCGCCGGACUCGGAAUGGCCCCAGACUUUGCGGGCGGCCUCCGUGUGCCAAAAAUAGGCCACGGGCACAGCCGCGCCCAAAAAUCAGCCCCCGAAGGUCGGGGUGCCAAGACCCCCCAGCGGAAAAAUGGCCAAAAAACGGGUGGGCUAUAGCCUUGGUGGGGGGCGUGGGCGAAGUUCGUCAGCCGGACUUGGAAUGGCCCCAGACUUUGCGUGCGGCCUUCGUGUGCCAAAAAUAGGCCACGGGCACAGCCGCGCCCAAAAAUCAGCCCCCGAAGGUCGGGGUCCCAAGACCCCCCAGCGGAAAAAUGGCCAAAAAACGGGUGGGCUAUAGCCUUGGUGGGGGGCGUGGGCGAAGUUCGUCCGCCGGACUCGGAAUGGCCCCAGACUUGGCUGGCGGCCUCCGUGUGCCAAAAAUAGGCCACGGGCACAGCCGCUCCCAAAAAUCAGCCCCCGAAGGUCGGGGUCCCAAGACCCCCCAGCGGAAAAAUGGCCAAAAAACGGGUGGGCUAUAGCCUUGGUGGGGGGCGUGGGCGAAGUUCGUCCGCCGGGCUCGGAAUGGCCCCAGACUUGGCGGGCGGCCUCCGUGUGCCAAAAAUAGGCCACGGACCUAGCCGCGCCCAAAAAUCACCCCCCAAGGUCGGGGUCCCAAGACCCCCCAGCGGAAAAAUGGCGAAAAAACGGGUGGGCUAUAGCCUUGGUG